GAUGAACGCUGGCGGCGUGCUUAACACAUGCAAGUCGAACGUGAUCCAUUAGCAAUAGUGGUGAAAGUGGCGAACGGGUGAGUAACACGUAGAUAACCUGCCCUGAAGCGGGGGAUAACGACUGGAAACGGUCGCUAAUACCGCAUGAGUCCAUCGAAUCGGGAGAGAGAUGGAGAAAAUCAAGGUGCUUGAGGAGGGGUCUGCGUCCGAUUAGCUAGUUGGUGAGGUAACGGCUCACCAAGGCGACGAUCGGUAGCUGGUCUGAGAGGACGAUCAGCCACACGGGAACUGAGACACGGUCCCGACUCCUACGGGAGCAG
rnacentral:rRNA from 1 species